GUGGUUUUGCUUUUGAUUUUAAUGCUUGGGCUGCCCCAGGUGUAUAUGUGAGAGUAUUUCUCGGAAGACACUGGCCUGUGAGUGGGUGAACUGAGUGGAGAAGCUCCACCCUCAAUGCAGGCAGGCACCAUUUAAUCAGCUGGGGGCCUGGAGAGAAAAGGCAGAGGAAGGGCAAAUUAUUUUUCUCUUUCUUUUGGAGCCAGGAUGUUUUUCUCCUUCCAUUGGAUGUCAGAAAGCUAGGUUCUCCAGCUUUUGGACUCUGGGAUUUGCACCAGAGCCUGCCCCCGGCAACCCCGACUCAGGCUUUUGGCCUUGAAAUGAGUUAUGCCAUCAGCUUAUUUAUUUGUAAGGCCUUCGGACUUGAACUGUGCCACAUCCUCAGCUUUCCAGAUUCUCCAGUUCGGACGACCCUUUGUGGAACUUCUCAGCCUCCAUGAUCAUAUAAGUCGACAUUUUCACUGGACCGAUUGGACUGAAAAGGCAAGAUUGAAUGAGAAAAGUGAAACUGACUCAAAUAAUGAGAACACUGUCUGUCAUAUAAUUCUCCGGUUAUGAGAAGUGUAGAGAUAGGAACACAACCAGUGACAAUUAUAUCAGAUGUCUGGCUCUGUUUCCCUGGAUUCUCUUCGUUCU
rnacentral:lncRNA from 10 species